rnacentral:rRNA from 1 species
GCGUAAAGAGCUCGUAGGCGGCUUGUCACGUCGGGUGUGAAAGCCCGGGGCUUAACCCCGGGUCUGCAUCCGAUACGGGCAGGCUAGAGUGUGGUAGGGGAGAUCGGAAUUCCUGGUGUAGCGGUGAAAUGCGCAGAUAUCAGGAGGAACACCGGUGGCGAAGGCGGAUCUCUGGGCCAUUACUGACGCUGAGGAGCGAAAGCGUGGGGAGCGAACAGGAUUAGAUACCCUGGUAAUCCAC